rnacentral:rRNA from 1 species
GCUUAUACUCGACCGUCAGCGGCACGUGCGAUCGCGCGUUUCGGCGCGCGGUCACGAAGCCCUGACGAGUAGGAGGGUCGCGGCGGUGAGCGCAGAAGGGCUGGCCGCGAGGCCGUCUGGAGCCGCCGUCGGUGCAGAUCUUGGUGGUAGUAGCAAAUACUCCAGCGAGGCCCUGGAGGACUGACGUGGAGAAGGGUUUCGUGUGAACAGCCGUUGCACACGAGUCAGUCGAUCCUAAGCCCUAGGCGAAAGCCGAUGUCGAUGCGGUGUGGAUUUCUUUACGUACGUACGCACGGAGCGAGACAAAUGUUAAUUCGUUUUAACGUGUCGUAGCGCGCACGAAAGUCGAUCGAACACACCCAUCGGGCGAAAGGGAAUCCGGUUCCAAUUCCGGAACCUGGC